AAUUCGACCCGAGGAGUCGAGGAGGUGUAUAAUUUGGUAAAUGAGAAAGGCCCUUAGCGACAACAGGGAUGCGUUCCCUGAAACUGUCGCGGACCUGCUCGCCUCAAACACACGCCGCCGCCGCUGAAGUUGAAUUGUUUUGAACUUUUUGUACGCGACGCGCAGCACAGCAUUGGAAGAGAGACUGAUCCCCACUGUUUGUGAGUGACAUUGAGUUUUUCCCUAGAAUACAUUGCGCUCAAGAGGGACUGUGUCCUCAGAAGCCUGUGUGUUUACCUCAGUGAGGACAGCAACAUUCUCAUCAAGGAGUACUUGGAUGUCAACAGUGAAGAAGGUAAGAGAGAGACCAUACAGACCACCAUGGGGCUAAACAUGAUUUGCAGAAGUAGAAGACAAGCCAGCGGAUGUUGGAGUGGUGGUCGAGGGUGUGGAACUGCUAAGUGAACUAGGAAGUAUUUCCUUUGGUUGUGACAUGCUGUUUGGCCUGAUCUACACUCUCAACCUGAACUAUCCACAAAUGUAAAUUUGAGUUCUUCCAGAAGGUUUUAAUGCACUUGGAUGGCUACAAACUGUCCCCAAAGGUGGAAACAUUAAAAUUAAGAAGCUUCAGUGAGCUCUUAAGUGCAAUGCUGGAAAGUUUGGCUAGCCACAUUUUGGCUUAAUGGACUUUACCAUUGUUCACGUGGUUUAAAAACACAAACAACAGAACAGCUUAUUGUUCUGAUUAUUUCUGGCAUCUUCUAUAGCCACUUUGUGUUAACUUGCUUAUUUUGCUGUUGGAGUGUAAUUUUUGCACUGAGAUUGCAUACUGUUAUACUAGAUAGAAAGAACCUUUUUUCCUGCAGGUAUUAAGGCCUUUUGCCCUUUUCAUUUGACACUUCUAUGUUAUCAUCACUAUCAGUAUUUGAUAAAAGAGUCUUUUGAAUGGCAAUCUAUGUUUUUUUAAGAUUAUUUUAAAAUGUAUUUUAAGUUACCAUAGUAGAAAUACUUAUUCCAGUGGAAAUAAUUUCUUUUCUUUAUUUUUUGGCCUUUAUAGUUUAUUAUACACUGGAAAACCUUGUGCCCUUGGUCGUUGUUUUUUUGCAAUAGCAGGUCUUGCUGCUGUAAUGUUAAAAUUACUAUUGGACUACCAUUGUUGUAAUGACUUAUAAUAGAUAUGCCAAUAAAAUUUCCAGAACAGUU